AGAGCGUUUCCGGGGCAGUGAUCUCCCUCCAGGUCAGGCUGGGGAUGUUGCGUGGGGCCAUCACGUCUGCAGCCUCCCCGGCAGGGGUGCGUACUCCCAGUCCGGAGUCUGCGCUCCAGUGUAGACGCAGCGUGACCUCCCUGUGCCACCGGUUGCCCCGCAUGGCUGGCUCUGUGGCCGACGCACGUGCUGCGGAGCCACCUAGCCGCCCCCAGGUCUCGCCUGACACGUGACACAGCUGAGAGCCAUAGUGUCCAGUGCCUGCAGGACCCAGCUGGUGGGCACCACCGCGCAUGCUCCGGGACGCCUGCCGGCGAGCGCCCCCUGGUGUCCGGGCGGUCCCAGCUCCGUGGCAGGUCCCUGGGCACCCGGAGUGGGAACCGCAGCCCAAACAUGGAGGCCGCAGGACUCCCGCGGUCUGUCCGAGGAGGCCAGGACUCCCAGGCGCAGUUCCUGACAGAGGAGCGACUUCCGGUCCCUCGGCGCGGGCUAUGGAUGAUGGUGGCCAUGGGUUUGGUGUAUAUGAAUUUUAUCUUUUCAAGACAUAUCUAACUCAGAGAUUACAGAGGGAAACACAGAAUCAUGAAUUCAGAGAAGCUCCCCAGAGGAAACCGUUCUAUGGAGAGGAAGCCACAACCCUCAGAGGAAACCAGCUCUUACCCUCCACCUGCACCUGCCCUGUGGUAUCUCUCCUCCUUGUGCCCUGUGCAUCCCCUGGAGGCCCCGUGCGCCCCCACAGGAGUUGUCCAACUCGUCUCCAUUUUCAAAUAUAAAGUAAACCCUGAUGCAGCAGGAAGACCCUCAACAGAUUCCCAUGCCUUGACCUUGGACUUCCCAGCCUCCGGAACUCUGAGAGAGAAACAAAGGACAGAGGUGAUGAGGAAUCCACCGCCUGAUAAGAACUCAUGUUGCAGAAAUGAAGAUGCAGCAUAUUCUGCUAUUCCACCAUAAGCCUUGCUUCUAUUAAGGCCAGCCCACUCCAGCCCCUUCCCUGGAGCCUGGCGGAUCCAGCUCAUCCAGUAGUCACUGAAGAUGAAACUGUACAAACAGAAACAGAAAGAAGCUGUGCUAUGUGUGCACGAGCAAGCACGUAUCUGGUGGGAAGUACCUGCAGUAUCUGGGACUGUGCACUCCAACACUAGAUCCUUCUCCGCUCCUGAACCAACUCCAGGAUCAAUGUGAACAAGCCUAAUAAGGCAGCACCUGUCACUAGCAUGUGGGUUAUUUAUGCAUGUUUUGUUUGGGCCUUGGUGUGAAGACCUUUGCACUGCAAUUCAGCAUCUUUAUAGCACACUCCCUGUGGAAUUACAUUGACAGUCACAUGCAUGGAAUUAGCCAGAGUACGAUAGUCAUCCUCUGCAACCAGGGACGCCAGUGCUGCCCAAAUGGUCCAUGAAUUAAGUGGUCAGAGCGGCAUGGCUGGAUGACACGCAUCACCCAACUUCAUGUACUUUCACCCGCUAAGGCAGACUGAGGUCCUCCCUGCCUAAUCUGAAGUCUGCAAGCAAAACAGACCACCAGUGACCUCAACAGGUCUCCAUAACUGAGUCCAGGAAUCACUUGAUGGCAAAUUCAUUAAGUCCUUUGACUCUGGAAGGUUCUGCAACUCAACCUGACUGGAUCUAGAACAUGCGUGUGUCUUCCACAACCCAAGGCCUCACUCAGGACCACUCGCUCUGUGAUUACUAUGCAUCCAAUUCAAUUAGUGGUGUCAACCUGACAUUUCCUGGGGCCAAGGGCUCCACCUCCCAGUAUAGACACUCAGCAUGGUAUUCUUCAGAAGGUGCUGGCCUGACUGAGAGGUUUACCUGUGUCAGCAAUUUUGUAUGCCACGUUACUGACCAUUACAUUAAGUGCAAUGGGGCUUCCCACAUGUACAUGCAUAGUUCCCUUUACUGUGUGGAGGAGUCACAAUGUAGCAGGUGGCAGAUUUUAUCCCAGUCUGUAGACAUUUCAUGGGAACAAAAAGGAGCAUGAAUAGGAAUAGCACCAGCCCCUCACUUUAUCUGGCAGCACUCCCAGUGGCCCAUCUGAGGAACACGUGGUGCUGCCCAACACAUUUAAGCUUCUCAUGCAAAAGAUUAGCAGGGCAGGAAAGAGUCUCCGUCUUUGCAAGGGCAAUGAUUAUAGUAUUAGGGUGUGGCUGUGUUUGCACAGUGAGUAAGUGAGGAAUAUACUUGGAUUCCAGUAAUUCCACCAGAGUAUUAUUUGGAAAUCCUAGGUUUUGACAAUACAUACCGAGAUGCAACUUAAAUGCAUAA